rnacentral:rRNA from 1 species
UACGAAGGGGGCUAGCGUUGCUCGGAAUCACUGGGCGUAAAGCGCACGUAGGCGGAUUGCUAAGUCAGGGGUGAAUCCUGGAGCUCAACUCCAGAACUGCCUUUGAUACUGGCGAUCUUGAGUCCGGGAGAGGUGAGUGGAACUGCGAGUGUAGAGGUGAAAUUCGUAGAUAUUCGCAAGAACACCAGUGGCGAAGGCGGCUCACUGGCCCGGUACUGACGCUGAGGUGCGAAAGCGUGGGGAGCAAACAGGG